UAGAGACCCCUGUAGUCCUAGCCGUAAACUAUGAACACUAGCUAUUUCCCGUAAGGGGAGUGGCGUAAGCUAACGCGUUAAGUGUUCCGCCUGGGGAGUACGACCGCAAGGUUAAAACUCAAAGGAAUUGACGGGGAAACGCACAAUCAGCGUGCCAUGUGGUUUAAUUGGAUACGAAACCUUGAACCUUACCUAGAUUUGACAUGUAACUGCAAAUCCCUGGAAACAGGGACUCCUUCGAGGGUGUUACACAGCUGCUGCAUGGUUGUCGUCAGUUCGUGUCGUGAGCUAUCGCGACCUCUCGCAGUAAUGCGGGAUGAGAAAUUCGACUCAUAUCGGUGAAGCCCUGUUGACUUUCGGUUUAACUUCGGGUUAAAUGAAAUCAAAUGGGUAAUACCGAGGGAAGUCAGACUGACAUUCGGCAAAUUCUAAUACGAAAGAAUAUUCACAUAUUCCUUUCGCAUGAUGAUUUAUGCCAGAAUGUAUGAAAUAUAAAGGUCUUGACCCCGUAACGACUAGAUUCCUGUUUAGACAGGAUGAAGAUGGGUAGAGUAAUCUAUUUCCAUAACACGUCGACCCCUAACGCGAAAGCGAAGGGUGAAGGUAUAGUCUACGUUUGAAGUAAUGUUCAAAUAUUUUUGGAGGCGUCGGCUUAAGUGCCGUAACGAACGCAACCCCUGUGCUAUGUUAAAUAUCCAUAGCAGACUGCCUUGGAUUUUUCCAAGGAGGAAGGAGGGGAUGACGUCAAAUCAGCAUGGCGCUUAUAUCUAGGGCUACACACAUGGCGUAAUGGGUGGGACAACGGGAUGCCAAGGCGCGAGCCGGAGCUAAUCCUUAUAAACCCAUCCUCAGUUUGGAUUGCAGGCUGCAAUUCGCCUGCAUGAAAGGGAGUUGAUAGUAAUCGCGGAUCAGCAACACCGCGGUGAAUACGUUCUCGUUUCUUGUACAAAUAAUAUGCGCCUUCCGCUAAUUUUUUCUAGGAGGUGAAAAUCCUCCGGCAAUGUAAGUAUUGCGAAGCGAAAUAACAAGCAUUAAUCGGUGACGAUAAUGCUGAAGGGUUAAAGUAGCAGUUUUCAGCUUGAAGUUGAGACGGUUUUGUGUAAUGUCGAUCCUACGUACAGAUGGAGAAGACACUUACAAACAAAGUUACACAAAAUAUUUGGGCUCAUGAUGAAAACAAAAUGAAAUUAUUAGUACGAAGGGAGAUCUAGUCUUGACUUUCGGUUAAACUUCGUGUUUACUGAAAGUAGAUAGAGUGGGUAACUGCCUAUCGAUUAGAGAUUAGAAGUCUGCAGAGGUCGUAGUACCCCGCUUUAUAAGUGGGGGAAGGACCGAACCUGAUUUAUGAAGUUAUCUGGUGAUUAUAUUGCUGGUUUCAUCAAGAUCAGGCAUUCGCCAGGGUGCGGGAAAUCCGCGUGCUCGGCGAGAGGGAAGUUUGUAGAGUGAUUUACAUAGUUAUCCCAGAACACUGCCCGUCAAGUCAACAAAGUCAGUAGUGCCCGAAGUAGGUACCCGCAACCGCAAGGAUCGGGCCUCCUAAGGUAAGACUGGCGAUGGGGGCUAAGUCGUUUGUGCAUACUGCACGUUGCGACUAUAGAGAGUAAUUUCUAUUUAAAAAUCUUGCUGUAUCGGUGAAGCCUAACUAUUCGGUAUAUCUUUUCGAUAUAUUGGAUAUAUGGUAAUACCGAGGGAACCUUUUUCCGAAACAUCGGAAUUUGGACUCCGUAGAGACUACACGCGAGCACCUUUUCACAUUAGGAAAAGGUUGAAGAUAUAGUCCAUGCCCGUAGAAAUACGCGGAAUUAACAUGAACAAGGUAUCCGUACUGGAAGGUGCGGAUGGAUCACCUCCUU
rnacentral:rRNA from 1 species